AUGGAGAUAUUAACUGAAAAGUUGGAAAGAAGGAUGUGUUCGGAUUGUGACCAAAUUUCUCGACCUUCACCCACGGCAUUCCACCGUCAUCGCACCUCCUGCCACGCCCCGCCCCGCCGGCCGCCGCCUUUCGUCGCCACCACCUACCCCGCCGCCGUGCGUCACCCCACCUACCCUGCCGCCGCGCCUACCCCUAUCUCCGGAUCGAGGUGGGUCACCGAGUGUGUGGGCGCUAGGUGGUUCUCCCGCUCGGUCAAAUCAAGUGAAGUCUGCACAGGGCGGCGGUGGACGGGCUGGACGUGCGGAACGAUGGGGCAUACGGAUCCAGGCGAGCGGCCGCGCCACCGCCCUUUGCCGCAUAGGCGUACGCACACGUGGGCUGUUUCUCUGUUGUCGGCCGGCUGCAGAAGGUGGCCGGCGUCGCCCCCGUCGUCAAAUCCCAUAGCCGGUCGAUCUCAACCACGUGUUGCAGUUGUAGAUGUCGAGGCCGAGGCCAUCCAUUAUCGUAGUCAACUCUUCAUUUACCAAUCGCCCAGCUCUGAGCUAUCCCAACCUUCCACAGCCACCACCACCCCUAAGCACCGGAGUAGAGCAAGGCUGCGCUGCGGCAACUUCAUCCCCGGAUACCAGUCUCGUGCUGCUGCUUGGUCUUGCCUCGGACUUCUUUUCAAAUGCCCGUUCACUACAACCCUUAGAGUGUUCGCCUGUUUGCUGCUGGUCCUGGUGAUCGCUGCUACCUGCCCUGGCGAGGCUUACGUACAUGUUUGUUUGCUGCUGUCAAGUAAUUCUGCUCUAGUGACGCUUCCAUGUAUUCCUGAUGCUAGUUCUGCCAAGCUUGACCAUGUUGUAAUCUGCUAUUUGCUGUCAAGUAAUUCUGCUCUAGUGACGCUCCCACGUGUUCCUGAUGCUAGUUCUGCCAAGCUUGGCCAUGGUUUGAACUGUCCUGAUCGCCGCGCCACCAUCCAUGAGACCAUCACCGCCACUCCGUGUCACAUUGUGUGUCUCCAGGAGACCAAGCUCCAGAAUGUCGACCCGUUCAUUGCUUCUUUUCUAGGGGGACAUCGGUUAAAGAGUUUUGCUCAACGCCCAUCUGUUGGCACUCGAGGCGGAAUCCUUCUUCUCUGGGACGAACAUUUUGUCAAAAUCCAAGAUGUAAACAUUGGUGCUUUCUUCCUCUCAGCCAAAGUCUCCCUAUCCUCGUCGGGUGAAUCCUUCAAGCUCACAACCGUGUACGGCCCGACGAGAAGCAACCUUAAAGACGGCUUCUUCCAAGAAUUGAUCACCAAGAGGGGGACGCCCCGCAACAUUGAUAUCAACUGGGACAGAUUGGAAUUGUUGCACGCAGCAAAAAGAAACUGGACUGGACAUAUGUUCAUGGAAGUGUUUGUGGUGGCAGUAUGGAGUAUAUGGAAAGAGAGAGCUGCUAGACCCUCUUUUGGUUUGUAUUCUGACCUCUCCUCCCCCUCCCCUGCUAACUUCUCUAUGUAA
rnacentral:rRNA from 1 species